AUGGCCAGGAAGAUGCUGCAAAGUGACUUGUCCACAGUCACUCAGGGGCGUGAACGAGAACGUGAUGGACGGGCCGGGGCAGCGAGCUCCCCCUCAGUACUGGAGAUGGGGCAGGCUUCUAGGAACGAAACAGUGCUCCCUGUUCUGAAAACACCUGGGAACUGGGCCCAAACCCUCUUUCUGAUGUGAAACUGGAGGCCAGGAGAGCUAUUCCAGCAGCCAAUGGUGGAAUCUGGACUUGUCUGUCAAUAACUCCACAUGUCUGUGAAGCGAGAUGAUAGGCGUACAUAGAGGAGGAGGCGGGACUGGAUGGGUAAGUAGACAUCACUGAACAUAUGCGGAGACAGAUGUGUGCUCUGGCAAACGGAUGGAGAUGCGCAAACCUUUCCCCCACAACCAAGACCUCUUGUCUGUAACUCAGGACUCAGGCUGGGUUUAAACUGGAGCUCAGAACAGAGUUCCUUCUCCGUAAACUUAACCUCACUGCUCAGCGGU
rnacentral:lncRNA from 1 species